GAUGAACGCUGGCGGCGUGCCUAAUACAUGCAAGUCGAGCGAACGGACGAGAAGCUUGCUUCUCUGAUGUUAGCGGCGGACGGGUGGGUAACACGUGGAUAACCUACCUAUAAGACUGGGAUAACUUCGGGAAACCGGAGCUAAUACCGGAUGAUAUUUUGAACCGCAUGGUUCAAAAGUGAAAGACGGUCUUGCUGUCACUUAUAGAUGGAUCCGCGCUGCAUUAGCUAGUUGGUAAGGUAACGGCUUACCAAGGCAACGAUGCAUAGCCGACCUGAGAGGGUGAUUGGCCAGACUGGAACUGAGACACGGUCCAGACUCCUACGGGAGGCAGCAGUAGGGAAUCUUCCGCAAAGGGCGAAAGCCUGACGGAGCAACGCCGCGUGAGUGAUGAAGGUCUUCGGAUCGUAAAACUCUGUUAUUAGGGAAGAACAUAUGUGUAAGUAACUGUGCACAUCUUGACGGUACCUAAUCAGAAAGCCACGGCUAACUACGUG
rnacentral:rRNA from 1 species